GCAGUCGAGCGGAUGAAGGGAGCUUGCUCCUGGAUUCAGCGGCGGACGGGUGAGUAAUGCCUAGGAAUCUGCCUGGUAGUGGGGGAUAACGUCCGGAAACGGGCGCUAAUACCGCAUACGUCCUGAGGGAGAAAGUGGGGGAUCUUCGGACCUCACGCUAUCAGAUGAGCCUAGGUCGGAUUAGCUAGUUGGUGGGGUAACGGCCUACCAAGGCGACGAUCCGUAACUGGUCUGAGAGGAUGAUCAGUCACACUGGAACUGAGACACGGUCCAGACUCCUACGGGAGGCAGCAGUGGGGAAUAUUGGACAAUGGGCGAAAGCCUGAUCCAGCCAUGCCGCGUGUGUGAAGAAGGUCUUCGGAUUGUAAAGCACUUUAAGUUGGGAGGAAGGGCAGUAAGUUAAUACCUUGCUGUUUUGACGUUACCAACAGAAUAAGCACCGGCUAACUUCGUGCCAGCAGCCGCGGUAAUACGAAGGGUGCAAGCGUUAAUCGGAAUUACUGGGCGUAAAGCGCGCGUAGGUGGUUCAGCAAGUUGGAUGUGAAAUCCCCGGGCUCAACCUGGGAACUGCAUCCAAAACUACUGAGCUAGAGUACGGUAGAGGGUGGUGGAAUUUCCUGUGUAGCGGUGAAAUGCGUAGAUAUAGGAAGGAACACCAGUGGCGAAGGCGACCACCUGGACUGAUACUGACACUGAGGUGCGAAAGCGUGGGGAGCAACAGGAUUAGAUACCCUGGUAGUCCACGCCGUAACGAUGUCGACUAGCCGUUGGGAUCCUUGAGAUCUUAGUGGCGCAGCUAACGCGAUAAGUCGACCGCCUGGGGAGUACGGCCGCAAGGUUAGACUCAAAUGAAUUGACGGGGCCCGCCCAGCGGUGGAGCUGUGGUUUAUUCUAACAACGCGAAGACCUUACCUGGCUUGACUGCUGAGACUUUCCGAAAGGAUUGGUGCCUCGGAACUCAAACCAGUGCUGCUGGCUG
rnacentral:rRNA from 1 species